AGAGAGGAGGCUUGAUUCAUCUUUUGGUCAUCACUUAGCAACACUCUUUACUUUGUGCAUGCUUUUCAGGUGCCUAUCUUUGCUUAUUUGAUGGGGCAAGUUAAAGAGAGAUGAGCACAACCCUAGAUGUGACCGAGCCUAAGGAUUCAAAUGUCUCUUCUUUCCUUCUUUCUUCCUCUCCCUUGGUAUAAAGAGAACCCUACCCAGAUCCACUUAGAUCCAUCACCACUUGUUGCACUAUUUGAUUCAGAGAUUGUUAUCUGCAACUGUGAGGAAUCAACAUGAACGAUCCCAAGUAUUCAUACCCCUAUCCUUCUCAAGCCCCUUACCAGGGGCAUCCGGCGAUGGUGCCACCGCCAUACGUGCCGCCUCAGUAUGUCCCUCCACAGUACGCGCCUCCGUCUCCACCUCCACCCACACCUAGCGGCUUUAUUGAGGCAUGCUGUGCAUGUCUGUGCUGUUGCUGUAUCUUCGAGGAGUGCUGUUGGUCGUGACCCCAUUGCGGCAGUGGCCAAUCGAAGAGCAUAAGAGCAGCACCAUUUCAAGCACCCAUUUCAAUCUACUACUGUUCUAUA